AGUGGAUAUGCGCUUCAAAAAUCAAUUAACUAGGGUUUCAACUAAAUAACUCUCCUCCCAAAAUUUUAAUCCCUGCUUCUCACCUGCUCUCCUACGUCUAGCCAUUCAAAGAACUCUACUCCCAUACGUUUGAUCUGAUGGAAGAACUAAGCCUCUUCAAUAUUGCUUCAAUAAGCCUAAUACCAUAGGUUCAAAGAUUCAUUGUUUCGCUUCUUCAAGCUGAGUUCAGAUUGAAAAGUUGAACUUAGUUAUCGUGGGGCUCGUUAAGGAAAAGGAUGAAGAAAAAGAAAGAUUAAAUGGAAUUAUUGCGGGGUUCUUGACUGAAAAAGAAAAAGAUAAGGUUGAUAAAGAUGCUAUGCUCGAUAGGAUGUCAUAAAUUGAAGCUAUGUUAACAAGUACAGUUCAAAAAUAGGCUAUAAACACUUGGUUUCGAAUGAUUCGAUGUUUAUCAUAUUGGGAUAAUUUUAGUUAUUUGAUGUUUUAGUUGACAUUUCUAUUCGAAUGUUUUAUAUGCUUUUCAAACAUAGAUGUUUUAUAUAAUUUUGGGUUUUCGUGAACU